UCUCAGACUGUGGAGGUCCAGUCUGGUGAAGAUGUCACACUGAUGUGCUCCGGCCUGGACAAAAUAGUAAGAGUCAGAUAUUGGCUUAAACUAGUCAAAGGAACCGACAUCCAAUGUGUCUCUACUAUGACCAGUCAUAACAGCACAGUGACAUAUCGUGAUAGAUUCAGUAAUCAUAAGUUCACUAUGUCGUCCAAUACCUCUACUAUCUUUCUCAAAGUCCGUUCAGUGGAAUUAAACGACUCUGGAAUUUAUUACUGUGGAUUUAACAAAGAUGGACGUCCAUUUCUUACUACGAUACAUCUAAAGAUCAAAGGAAGCAACGAGGCAGAUGAAGACGUGGACAGAACGGACAGUAACCUUACAAGUUUGAUUUUUAUUAUUAUUUCUAUGAUGCACAGACUUCUUAUAUCUUCAAAUAAGUUAAAUAAUUUAGUUUGAUCCUGUCAGGUUUUAAAGUCUCAAAAAGGAAAAUGUAUUCUGACACAAUGAUCUUUCUUGUUGAAGAGUGUGGUGGAGCAGCGACUCUGGUGAGCAUGAUCCUGGGUGCUUUGACUCUUUUGCUUGUCAUGGUGGUCAUCGGUCUGGGUGCUAAAAUUAGGAAACUUCAGACAGCUGCUGAAGAAAGACAGAAUCCAGGACACACUGAGAAUGUGACCUCUGAUGAACUGAACUACGCAGCAGUGACAUUUCGAUCUCAAGCCAAAAGAAGAGAGCCGGAGCCAAAUGUCUUGUAUGCUGCUACCAGAUAGAGUGAGGAGGCAGCUGGACAUGAUCUUGUGUCAUACAGUAUUACAAUGCUUUGAGCUUUUGCAUGGCUUGUCUGGCUCAAUGUCUUCUUAGCCAAAAAAAGAUGUUGGGGAUUCAUGCUGUAGGGGCCUUUAAAGAUGUAUUUGACAGUCAGUUUC